CAGCAGCCACGGGAAUACGAAGGGGGCUAGCGUUGUUCGGAAUUACUGGGCGUAAAGCGCACGUAGGCGGAUAUUUAAGUCAGGGGUGAAAUCCCGCAGCUCAACUGCGGAACUGCCUUUGAUACUGGGUAUCUUGAGUAUGGAAGAGGUUAGUGGAAUUGCGAGUGUAGAGGUGAAAUUCGUAGAUAUUCGCAGGAACACCAGUGGCGAAGGCGGCUAACUGGUCCAUAACUGACGCUGAGGUGCGAAAGCGUGGGGAGCAAUCAGGAUUAGAUACCCCCGUAGUCCCUGUCUCUUAUAC
rnacentral:rRNA from 1 species